rnacentral:rRNA from 1 species
CCUACGGGUGGCAGCAGUGGGGGAUAUUGCACAAUGGGGGGAACCCUGAUGCAGCGACGCCGCGUGGGUGAAGGAGUGCUUCGGCAUGUAAAGCCCUAUCGGCAGGGAAGAAGCAAGACGGUACCUGACUAAGAAGCCCCGGCUAACUACGUGCCAGCAGCCGCGGUAAUACGUAGGGGGCGAGCGUUAUCCGGAUUCACUGGGUGUAAAGGGAGCGUAGACGGCCAUGCAAGCCAGGGGUGAAAGCCCGGGGCCCAACCCCGGGACUGCCCUUGGAACUGUGCGGCUAGAGUGCGGGAGGGGCAGGCGGAAUUCCUGGGGUAGCGGUGAAAAGCGUAGAUAUCAGGAGGAACACCGGGGGCGAAGGCGGCCUGCUGGACCGCGACUGACGUUGAGGCUCGAAAGCGUGGGGAGCGAACAGGAUUAGAUACCCCUGUAGUC